AAUGAACGUUGGCGGCGUGGAUUAGGCAUGCAAGUCGAGCGAGAAUCGGUCUUCGGAUCGAGGACAGCGGCGAACGGGGUAGGAAUACCUCGGUGACGUACCCCCAGGUCGGGGAUAGCGGCGGGAAACUGCCGGUAAUACCCGAUGACCUUUCCAAGUUUUACGACAGGGGAAGCAAAGGUGUGAUUCCGCCUGGGGAGCGGCUGAGGUCGUAUUAGCUGGUUGGUGAGGUAAUGGCUCACCAAGGCAAUGAUGCGUAGGGGGUGUGAGAGCAUGGCCCCCACCACUGGCACUGAGACACUGGCCAGACACCUACGGGUGGCUGCAGUCGAGAAUCUUCGGCAAUGGGCGCAAGCCUGACCGAGCGACGCCGCGUGCGGGAUGAAGGUCUUCGGAUUGUAAACCGCUGUCGGAGGGGAUGAAGUGCAGGGGGGUACUCCCCCCUGUUUGACAGAGCCUCGGAGGAAGCACGGGCUAAGUUCGUGCCAGCCGCCGCAGUAAGAC
rnacentral:rRNA from 1 species